GUGCGCCGCGCGCGGCGGCUGUGCUACUCUCGGCCGUUGGAGGGCCUGCUCCUGCCGGAGGAAGGAGGAUCCCGAGUGCCACGUUGCGAGUUCUUGUGGUGUCCGCCUCCUUCCGGACUCACCACCUCAGGAGAUUUGUGUGAUGCAUCAACCUACCACGUGGAACAGAGCUGUGGAGGUGGAAUGAACUUAGAAGCUGAUGGCGGGGACCAAAGGAAAUUAUUCUUGGAAGAAACAGUCCAUCUUCAUGAAUGACCCUUCACCCACAAAAUGUUCUUCUUUUUGAGUUGCCUUUAAUUGCUUUUGUCCCUCCUCAUACUCUCACAGAAAUUCUGUGAGGUUCUGAGAUCGGCUGUCUUCUCUCCACUUUCUCAGGGAGUUCAUUUUCUCCCCAAGCUUCAAGUAUCCUUGAUUUUGUGAAUGAUGUCAAAAAAUAUAAUUCAUUAAUUUAUUUAACCAA
rnacentral:lncRNA from 1 species